ensembl:snRNA
GUGUUGUAUGAAAAGGGAGACAGUUAGCACUGCCCCUGAGAGGGCUGGAAGAGGCCCCCGGGCCUGACAAUAUGCACAUGGUUAAGGCAUUGCCACCUACUUCAUGGCAUCUAACCACUGUUCUUA